AUUGAACGCUGGCGGCAUGCCUUACACAUGCAAGUCGAACGGCAGCACGGGGCAACCUGGUGGCGAGUGGCGAACGGGUGAGUAAUGCAUCGGAACGUACCUUUCAGUGGGGGAUAACGUAGCGAAAGUUACGCUAAUACCGCAUAUUCUGUGAGCAGGAAAGCAGGGGAUCGCAAGACCUUGCGCGGAUUGAGCGGCCGAUGUCAGAUUAGCUAGUUGGUGAGGUAAAGGCUCACCAGGGCGACGAUCUGUAGCGGGUCUGAGAGGAUGAUCCGCCACGCUGGAACUGAGACACGGUCCAGACUCCUACGGGAGGCAGCAGUGGGGAAUUUUGGACAAUGGGGGCAACCCUGAUCCAGCCAUGCCGCGUGAGUGAAGAAGGCCUUCGGGUUGUAAAGCUCUUUCGGCCGGGAAGAAAUCGCACGGGCUAAUACCCUGUGUGGAUGACGGUACCGGAAUAAGAAGCACCGGCUAACUACGUGCCAGCCGCCGCAGUAACAC
rnacentral:rRNA from 1 species